rnacentral:rRNA from 1 species
UACGUAGGCAGCGGGCGUUGUUCGGAGUUACUGGGCGUAAAGCGUGCGUAGGCGGUUUUGUAAGUUUGGUGUGAAAUCUCCCGGCUUAACUGGGAGGGUGCGCCGAAAACUGCAAGGCUGGAGUGUGGGAGAGGUAGGCGGAAUUCCUGGUGUAGCGGUGAAAUGCGUAGAUAUCAGGAGGAACACCUGUGGUGUAGACGGCUUACUGGACCAUGACUGACGCUGAGGCACGAAAGCGUGGGGAGCAAACAGG